rnacentral:rRNA from 2 species
AGAGUUUGAUCAUGGCUCAGAUUGAACGCUGGCGGCAGGCCUAACACAUGCAAGUCGAACGGUAACAGGAAGCAGCUUGCUGCUUUGCUGACGAGUGGCGGACGGGUGAGUAAUGUCUGGGAAACUGCCYGAUGGAGGGGGAUAACUACUGGAAACGGUAGCUAAUACCGCAUAACGUCGCAAGACCAAAGAGGGGGACCUUAGGGCCUCUUGCCAUCGGAUGUGCCCAGAUGGGAUUAGCUAGUAGGUGGGGUAACGGCUCACCUAGGCGACGAUCCCUAGCUGGUCUGAGAGGAUGACCAGCCACACUGGAACUGAGACACGGUCCAGACUCCUACGGGAGGCAGCAGUGGGGAAUAUUGCACAAUGGGCGCAAGCCUGAUGCAGCCAUGCCGCGUGUAUGAAGAAGGCCUUCGGGUUGUAAAGUACUUUUCAGCGGGGAGGAAGGGAGUAAAGUUAAUACCUUUGCUCAUUGACGUUACCCGCAGAAGAAGCACCGGCUAACUCCGUGCCAGCAGCCGCGGUAAUACGGAGGGUGCAAGCGUUAAUCGGAAUUACUGGGCGUAAAGNNNNNCAUUCAUUCAUUAAUUAAUUAAUGAAUGGAAUGNNNNNGUUCUCCUGAGACUUCGGCAGAGAAAGCAAAAAUAAAUGCUUGACUCUGUAGCGGGAAAGYGUAUYAUGCACACCCCCGCGCCGCUGAGAAAAAGCGAAGCGGCACUGCUCUUUAACAAUUUAUCAGACAAUCUGUGUGGGCACUCGAAGAUACGGAUUCUURACGUCGCAAGACGAAAAAUGAAUACCAAGUCUCARGAGUGAACACGUAAUUCAUUACGAAGUUUAAUUCUUUGAGCAUCAAACUUUU